CUCACUAGUCGAGUCGGCCUGCGCGGAAGAUGUAACGGGGCUCAAACCACACACCGAAGCUGCGGGUGUCACGUAAGUGACGCGGUAGAGGAGCGUUCUGUAAGCCUGUGAAGGUGAGUUGAGAAGCUUGCUGGAGGUAUCAGAAGUGCGAAUGCUGACAUGAGUAACGACAAUGGGUGUGAAAAACACCCACGCCGAAAGACCAAGGGUUCCUGCGCAACGUUAAUCGACGCAGGGUUAGUCGGUUCCUAAGGCGAGGCUGAAAAGCGUAGUCGAUGGGAAACAGGUUAAUAUUCCUGUACUUCUGGUUACUGCGAUGGAGGGACGGAGAAGGCUAGGCCAGCUUGGCGUUGGUUGUCCAAGUUUAAGGUGGUAGGCUGAAAUCUUAGGUAAAUCCGGGGUUUCAAGGCCGAGAGCUGAUGACGAGUCGUCUUUUAGAUGACGAAGUGGUUGAUGCCAUGCUUCCAAGAAAAGCUUCUAAGCUUCAGGUAACCAGGAACCGUACCCCAAACCGACACAGGUGGUCGGGUAGAGAAUACCAAGGCGCUUGAGAGAACUCGGGUGAAGGAACUAGGCAAAAUGGCACCGUAACUUCGGGAGAAGGUGCGCCGGCUAGGGUGAAGGAUUUACUCCGUAAGCUCUGGCUGGUCGAAGAUACCAGGCCGCUGCGACUGUUUAUUAAAAACACAGCACUCUGCAAACACGAAAGUGGACGUAUAGGGUGUGACGCCUGCCCGGUGCCGGAAGGUUAAUUGAUGGGGUUAGCGCAAGCGAAGCUCUUGAUCGAAGCCCCGGUAAACGGCGGCCGUAACUAUAACGGUCCUAAGGUAGCGAAAUUCCUUGUCGGGUAAGUUCCGACCUGCACGAAUGGCGUAACGAUGGCGGCGCUGUCUCCACCCGAGACUCAGUGAAAUUGAAAUCGCUGUGAAGAUGCAGUGUAUCCGCGGCUAGACGGAAAGACCCCGUGAACCUUUACUGUAGCUUUGCACUGGACUUUGAGCCUGCUUGUGUAGGAUAGGUGGGAGGCUUUGAAGCGUGGACGCCAGUUCGCGUGGAGCCAUCCUUGAAAUACCACCCUGGCAUGCUUGAGGUUCUAACUCUGGUCCGUGAUCCGGAUCGAGGACAGUGUAUGGUGGGCA
rnacentral:rRNA from 1 species